rnacentral:rRNA from 1 species
UACGUAGGUGGCAAGCGUUGUCCGGAUUUAUUGGGCGUAAAGAGCUCGUAGGCGGUCUGUUGCGUCGGCUGUGAAAACCCGGGGCUCAACUCCGGGCCUGCAGCCGAUACGGGCAGACUAGAGUUCGGCAGGGGAGACUGGAAUUCCUGGUGUAGCGGUGAAAUGCGCAGAUAUCAGGAGGAACACCAGUGGCGAAGGCGGCGAUCUGGGAAGAUACUGACGCUGAGGUGCGAAAGCGUGGGGAGCAAACAGG